CCCUUCGACGUCUGGGGCCGCACGCGUGCUACAGUGGUGGUGGUAACGCGCGUUCCGUGCUCGUAAGGUGUUCGGGAAUCGUCAAGCUCCCCCAUGCCGGGGAUCGCGGCUUGCAAUUGUGCCUCGUGAACCAGGAAUGCCUAGUAGUCGCGGGUCAUGACCUCGCGUCGACUGCGUCCCUGCCCUUUGUACACACCGCCCGUCGCUCCUACCGAUUGAAUGUUCCGGUGAGCUCUUCGGACUGCGCGGUCUGCAGUUUCUGCGUUCCGUGCGGAAAGUUGCGCAAACCUUAACAUUUAGAGGAAGGAGAAGUCGUAACA
rnacentral:rRNA from 1 species